AAGGCUUUUCGGGUGUGCAAAAAG
rnacentral:siRNA from 1 species